AGAGUUUGAUCAUGGCUCAGGAUGAACGCUAGCGGCAGGCUUAAUACAUGCAAGUCGUGGGGCAGCAGCUUUGUAGCAAUACAGAGGCUGGCGACCGGCAAACGGGUGCGGAACACGUACGCAACCUACCCAUAACUGGGGAAUAGCCCGGGGAAACCCGGAUUAAUACCCCGUAACAUAUUGAUAAGGCAUCUUAUUAAUAUUAUAGCUCCGGCGGUUAUGGAUGGGCGUGCGCCUGAUUAGGUAGUUGGCGGGGUAACGGCCCACCAAGCCUACGAUCAGUAACCGGUGUGAGAGCACGACCAGUCACACGGGCACUGAGACACGGGCCCGACUCCUACGGGAGGCAGCAGUAAGGAAUAUUGGUCAAUGGACGCAAGUCUGAACCAGCCAUGCCGCGUGGAGGAUGAAGGUCCUCUGGAUUGUAAACUUCUUUUAUCUGGGAAGAAACCCAUGAAUUCUUUUGUGGUUGACGGUACCAGAUGAAUAAGCACCGGCUAACUCCGUGCCAGCAGCCGCGGUAAUACGGAGGGUGCAAGCGUUAUCCGGAUUUACUGGGUUUAAAGGGUGCGUAGGCGGAAUGGUAAGUCCGUGGUGAAAUCCCCGAGCUUAACUUGGGAACUGCCAUGGAUACUAUCAAUCUUGAAUAUCAUGGAGGUAAGCGGAAUAUGUCAUGUAGCGGUGAAAUGCUUAGAUAUGACAUAGAACACCAAUUGCGAAGGCAGCUUACUACGCGAUUAUUGACGCUGAGGCACGAAAGCGUGGGGAUCAAACAGGAUUAGAUACCCUAGUAGUCC
rnacentral:rRNA from 1 species